rnacentral:rRNA from 1 species
UACAGGGGGGUGCAAACGUUGCUCGGAAUCAUUGGGCGUAAAGCGCACGUAGGCGGUUCGUUAUGUCGGAUGUGAAAGCCCUUGGCUUAACCGAGGAAGUGCAUCCCGAAACUGGCGAGCUAGAGUACGAAAGAGGAUCGCGGAAUUCCCGGUGUAGAGGUGAAAUUCGUAGAUAUCGGGAGGAACACCGGUGGCGAAGGCGGUUCUCUGGGCCUGUACUGACGCUGAGGAGCGAAAGCGUGGGGAGCGAACAGG